GUGAACGCUGGCGGUAGGCCUAACACAUGCAAGUCGAACGGCAGCACAGUAAGAGCUUGCUCUUACGGGUGGCGAGUGGCGGACGGGUGAGGAAUACAUCGGAAUCUACUUUUUCGUGGGGGAUAACGUAGGGAAACUUACGCUAAUACCGCAUACGACCUACGGGUGAAAGCAGGGGAUCUUCGGACCUUGCGCGAUUGAAUGGGCCGAUGUCGGAUUAGCUAGUUGGCGGGGUAAAGGCCCACCAAGGCGACGAUCCGUAGCUGGUCUGAGAGGAUGAGCAGCCACACUGGAACUGAGACACGGUCCAGACUCCUACGGGAGGCAGCAGUGGGGAAUAUUGGACGAUGGGCGCAAGCCUGAUCCAGCCAUACCGCGUGGGUGAAGCAGGCCUUCGGGUUGUAAAGCCCUUUUGUUGGGAAAGAAAAGCAGCAGGUUAAUACCCCGCUGUUCUGACGGUACCCAAAUAAUAAGCACCGGCUAACUUCGUG
rnacentral:rRNA from 1 species